AGUGAACGCUGGCGGUAGGCCUAACACAUGCAAGUCGAACGGCAGCACAGGAGAGCUUGCUCUCUGGGUGGCGAGUGGCGGACGGGUGAGGAAUACAUCGGAAUCUACCUUUUCGUGGGGGAUAACGUAGGGAAACUUACGCUAAUACCGCAUACGACCUACGGGUGAAAGUGGGGGACCGCAAGGCCUCACGCGAUUAGAUGAGCCGAUGUCCGAUUAGCUAGUUGGCGGGGUAAUGGCCCACCAAGGCGACGAUCGGUAGCUGGUCCGAGAGGAUGAUCAGCCACACUGGAACUGAGACACGGUCCAGACUCCUACGGGAGGCAGCAGUGGGGAAUAUUGGACAAUGGGCGCAAGCCUGAUCCAGCCAUACCGCGUGGGUGAAGAAGGCCUUCGGGUUGUAAAGCCCUUUUGUUGGGAAAGAAAUCCUGUCGAUUAAUACUCGGUGGGGAUGACGGUACCCAAAGAAUAAGCACCGGCUAACUUCGUGUCAGCCGCCGCGGUAACAC
rnacentral:rRNA from 1 species